UUAAUUCCAUUCCUAAUUAAUUGGGCUACAACUCUCUCCAUAACUUUCAUUACCUGUAACAAAAGCUUUCAACUGCUUCUAGGGAAAUGUUCAGGUAUAAUAAAUUUUACUUGUGCUCUUAGUGCUUACUGUGCCUGUAUAUCUUGCACAAAUGAAAUGAACUUUCUGUUAGCCUAUCUGUGAUCUCACUAUACCUUUUGUAUGUCCAUAGCUUACACUAGAUGCAUUAACGAAUUUCUAUCUACUUGUUUUCUGCAUAUUGAACUUAGAUAAUUUCCUGAUGGUUGCAUGACCCCAUUUUUAUUAUUUCUAUAUAUAAGCCUAUAAUCUUUGCUUACUUUACUGUAAGAGCUUCUGAUUAUUUCAGUUACAUUUAGAGACUUUUCUUUGAAGCUCUAAAGUGCUAAUAUUUAAUUACCUUUCCUAAUUAAUAGCAUUCUAGUUCCAAAAGAAAACAUACAGCAAUGUUUAUACUUACUUAUGGUAAAUAUUAAAAAUAUAAAGUUUGCUUUAUUUGACUUAGAUAUCCUAUUAUUAAAUUUAUUUUAAAAUUAUAGUUUUUUUCUUUACGUCAGUGUUCUACUUUUCUAAAAUAUUUUCAUGACUAAUUAUGUUACAUAUUCAUUUGUCUGUCUGUCAUCUAAUUUGGGAUUGUAUAUAAAAUAAGAUCACAUACAGAGUGUAUUAGCAUGUAUAUAUAAUGCAUACACAGGUUUGUGUAUUAAUUUAUGUCUAUUAUAUGCAGUUAUGACAGUUUAAUUUAUACAUACACAUAACUCGCAUACAAGUGAGUUAAAUACAUUGGAUGAUUGUUAUUCAUGCUUCUUUUAUACAAUUAAGAAAUAAUAAAAUAAAUGUUGGUGUGUAAAAAUUUAUCACUGAAUGUGUUCAUCUGUGCAGGAUUGGAGAAAUCUUUGAUAUUUUGGCAGUAACAAGUUGGGCAAAAUACCUUGUAUUUAGAUCUCAUGUUGAUUAAAAUACUGUUAAAUUUUAGUGAGCCUUGUCAGUAAAAUCACACCAGCAAUUGAAUAACCAUACUACCUCCCUAUAAAUUUGGCCACUUAUUGAAGUAUGGAUCCUCAGCUUUUCAACUUUUUCAGUAAUCCUUUAAUAAAUAAAAAACAAAUCACUUCAGCAUUUUAGUGUUCUGAACAUCAGAUUUAUAAUCUACAAAAAAAAAAAAAAAUAAAUAAAUAAACUAAUUUCUUUCAUUUUUGAAUACACAUUACUUGAAUUAUUUUGGAAUCGAAUACAGCUGUGUUACAAAAUUUUAAUCUUUAUCCAUGUAAUUAAAAGCAUUGGAUUGAGAUUAGUUUUUAUUAAUGAACUUUUAUCUUUCUUUAAAAAUAAAAAAUAAUAAUAAAAACCUGGUAUUCAAAACAAAAUCUGAAGACUUGUUUUUGAGAAAGGGGUUAUGUGGCUAAAUUUGUAGUUUGUGUCAAAGAAAUAAUAAUUAUUAUUGUCAAUGAUGAAAGUGAAACGGUAGUAUUGGACGUUGGUACGUGGUUCCUUUUUUUUUUUUUUAACCUUCUCUAGGAAUAAUAAAAUAUGUUCAGUGAAUAUAAAUUGAUAGCACAAAUCUAAAUUAGUUUUGUGUUGGUACAGCUGUGGAUUCCUAAUGAACACUGUCUCUACAUGUGUUGUCAGAAACUUGCAAUAAAAACAUGGUCUUGCUACUAUGCUGAAUAAAGCAUUAGCUAGCUCAAUUUUCACGUUACUGGGUUGUUUAAAGAUUUCUCCUUUUCUGUUCAGAUGUUUAGUCAGUAUCUCUUGAUACAGCUGACCACAGCCAGUGAGCUGAGCAGCAUCUGUGAUACUUUAUAAUAUAUCAUUGUAAUAAUCUUUUUUAUACAGACACAUUAUGAAAAAAAUUUCUGUGCAUGUUAUGUUGGAUUUUUUCUUUUUUGGAUUCAAACAGGCACAAAAACAACAUCACACAUUCAUAUUUCAUUACAUUUUCAUAUAUUUAUUGUUUUUUUUUUUUGAUAACAAUGUAUUAUUUUUUAUAUAUUAUUUUUAUUUUAUCAUUUUUUCCCCCUUUUGAUUAAAGAGGGAUUAGAUGCCCCCUUAUAUACUAAUGGCUAUCCUUGUGUCAACCAGUGUUUUGUUGAACAGGAAACAUCAAGAAUUCUAUUGCAUUAAUACUCUUAUUUUCUCUGCUAUAAAUAAUAUUUUCAGAUAGGUUUAGAGGAUAAUUUUGAGAACAAUAACUGAGAAGAUUAACUUGUUUUUGUUUAUUUGUUAUUACGGAUUUUUUUUUUUUUUUUUACUGAAAAAUUUAUACUUUAGAUCAGUAGAAUCUCAUUAAAAAAAUUGUAGAAUCUCAAUUAAUUCCUAUUACA